ACUCAUUUGGUCACAGGAUUGUUCUUUUCCCUGAAAACUUAUUUGGGAAAAGCUGUCCAUUCUUAUAAACAAAGAUUGAGCGGUGGUACUCUUCUUUCACAGAAAAUCAACAGCAGGUUAGUGCCCAGGGAAGGUGGCUUCCUGCUCCCAGUGAGGACCUGUGUAGGGGCAGGCAAUGCGGGGAGAGGAGCUGGCCCUGUAACAGACUAAAGAGCAACUGGAAUAUGGAGGCAGAGCACCUAAACACCGAAAAACUAAAGGUACACAGAAAUAUCUCUUCCGUGCAAAUUCACAUAAACCCGUGUCUGUCCUUAGAUGGAAGCCUCAUCUCCCCAGUUGCCUGGGCUGUACCACACUUCCUUUUUACAUAAUCUCCCUUCCCAAGUAGAAGAUCUUCUCCAGAAUUUAUUAAAUUUCCCCCAAGCCUGUAUUAGGAUGUUAAGGAAAUUCCUUCCAUUAGGAAAGAAGGUUACCAAUAUUGUGGAAUAUAGAAAGAUUCCACCUGGAGCCCAAACAUGCCCUCAGAAAGCAAAGACCUAAGCUAUCCUCAAGUAUUCUGGACCGGAAACAGGAUCUCAAGCAGAUUCCCUUUUAAGAAUUGGAGUUACACAACCACAGUGUGAUUAGAGCAAUCACAUAUCUAUUACAUGUUCAGCCUCUAAAGGCAUCAAACACUUGCAACAUUAGCCUUGGGCACAUGUCACACAUCUUGAAGCUACUAUGUUCAAACAAGACAAAGAAGUCCUUUCCCAGGAGUACCUCCGGCCCCACCUCCCCCAGAGUUAAUUGUUUCUACUCCUUGUACCUGCUUUGAUUGAAAGUGUAGAUUUUCACACGACAAUGACUAUACUUCUGUAGUAUUUUUUUUGUAUCUUCAUCUGUGUUAAAAGAGUUCAU